CACUUAAAUCACACAUCAGAUCUUGAUCUUCUUUACUGAUGUACAUUGUUUAAUUUGUUGAGAACAAAAUGACGUAACAGUCAGUGGAAACCAGAAUCGUCAAUCCACUGAGGGCUGGAUUCAAAAUCACACCGAAAAUCAAAGUAAAAAAUGGUACCGCAGUUAAAGGGGAUUCCCACGCUCUGAGACAGUGACAGUGAGUCAAUCCUCAGGGGCUCCCUCAUGCCAACGGAGUGUUUUCUAUAAAGAAAUGGAAAAGGCUCUCCGCCCGCCCACCCUACAGGUGUACGCUGGUGAGAUGAGGGAACACACCCGAUCUGCUCCCUGCUGACCUACCUUACAGUAAACAUACGAAGCUGAAACAUGUUCAGGUGAUUUUAUUCACAUAGUCAACCUACAGAGGAGAAAUCUGAGAGAAGAAGUUCCACGAGCGCGCAGAAGCAGCCUGAGUAGGUUGAUGGUGACGUUGUCAACGAUGUCCAGGAGGAACGAGGAGUCGCUGACUCUGAACAUGUCAUAUGCGCCUGGGUCUAUGCCGUAGGAGGACUCUGCAUCAGUAAUCAGGACAGCAAUUCUUUGGGAGUCUGCACGCAUUCCUGCUGUGGGUUUAAAGAGCCUAUCUAGGGUGUAGCCCAGAUCAUCUCCUGUAUGACAGAAUAAAGAGGUUUUAAAAGGUACAGAGACUUUCUUUCAUGUGUCCCUUGUUCCAGAUAUAAAGUCCCAUUACUUUGCUCAUAGACUGUGAGGUGACUGACAGUUCCUCACUUCAACAACUGUGUAAUAAAAUAUCUGGUUCUUUGAUAAAAAGUCAAAGCUAGAAGCCUGUAGACAUAAAAACUGAAAGAGAGAAGUUAACUACGACUCCCAAGAUGCAUUUCAGUCAGAAACAUCCAAUCACAGAGCUUCAAACUCUAUUGUGAGACGCUCACAUCAUUAUGAUUUUUAAUGCUGUUAUUGUAUUAUUAUAAUUAUUAUAAUGACUAUAACAGCAUCAGCAGUCUUUGAUAUGUAACAUUAUACCAAUAAUAUUAUAUCACAAUAUUAAUGAUCAUAAGAUUUUUACAAUAACAUUAUUAUACAGUAAAAUUCUGGUUUAUUUGAAGCUGAUGUAUUUGCUAUAAAUGUGAGCAUUGUGUCUCUAUGUGUCAGGUUAACUCUGUUCUCUCAGCUGUUCUAGAGAUUCUGGUGAUUCACAAACAGACGUUUAUCACACAAAUCAAUGAUGAUCAGGGUGAGCUGCUGAGACUCCUACAGCUUCCCAAAUAAACAGGAUUCUCACAUGAAGUGAGUCUGAACGAUAGUAAACACAGAAACUGUCCGUCUGUAGCAGCAUUAUGGUGAACUGCAUAGAGAUCUGUAUCCAGUGUUACAAAUCAACUGGUUUUCCUGUUAACUGGUUACCUUUGUUUGUAAAAAUCGGGCGUUUCUCAUGGCAACAGCAGAUGUUCCAAUCACAGAACAGUUUGUCCACAUCAUUUGAAACAUCCUGCUAGUGAUCUAAAAUAUAGAGGUCAGUUCAGUCCAGCUGUCAAUCAUUUUGUAAUAUGUAUUUGUAUAUUGUUAGUUUUAGAAUGAUGAGCAGAGGAACACCUGACACAUGGGCACAACGUGAUUUACACAUUUAUUUAAUCUAUCAAUGAGAUGCAAUGUGUUUGAUGCACAACAUAUUAAAAACCGUUUAAUACACAACAUGGGUAAAAAAUAAGCUGCAGUCAUUUUCAAUAAUAUUUGAUACAUAGCUGAAUGUUUCAUUGUAAUAUCUUUGAAGCAGAAUGAUGUCACUCAGGUUUUUCAGAAUGAAUGACUUCAUUUGUUUUUUAUUAUUAUAAGUCAUGAUGUUGAUUUUUCUGUCUUGUUAUGUAGAGA